ACACUGGCUUAGCUCAGUGGCUACUUAACCCAAAAUCUCUUUGAUUUAUCGCUCUCCUCCCAAUUGGGAUCGAACUGUGGGCGCUGUCCAGUGUUUUG
rnacentral:vault_RNA from 1 species